rnacentral:siRNA from 1 species
CCGCCGAAGCGAGCCUUGGGAC